rnacentral:misc_RNA from 1 species
UUGCGGCUGGAUCACCUCCUUUCUCGGAAUCAGGGAACAGGGGCCAGGUCACAGGCAACCGCGAUGUUGCCCUGCCACCGGGCACUGUCCUCCCUCAUGCGUUCCAGUACCCACAACCUAUCGAUUGCGGUUAGCGCGAACGGAAAGCAGCGGCGCACGACGCGCACGUUGAAGGCAUUCGGGCCUGUAGCUCAGUUGGUUAGAGCACCGUCUUGAUAAGGCGGGGGUCGAUGGUUCGAAUCCAUCCAGACCCACCACGGUCUUGUCUGGUGAGCUGCUCGGGUGAAACCUCUGGAGUGUGU